AUGAACGCUGGCGGCGUGCCUAAUCCAUGCAAGUCGAGCGAACAGACGAGGAGCUUGCUCCUCUGACGUUAGCGGCGGACGGGUGAGUAACACGUGGAUAACCUACCUAUAAGACUGGGAUAACUUCGGGAAACCGGAGCUAAUACCGGAUAAUAUAUUGAACCGCAUGGUUCAAUAGUGAAAGACGGUUUUGCUGUCACUUAUAGAUGGAUCCGCGCCGCAUUAGCUAGUUGGUAAGGUAACGGCUUACCAAGGCAACGAUGCGUAGCCGACCUGAGAGGGUGAUCGGCCACACGGGAACUGAGACACGGUCCAGACUCCUACGGGAGGCAGCAGUAGGGAAUCUUCCGCAAUGGGCGAAAGCCUGACGGAGCAACGCCGCGUGAGUGAUGAAGGUCUUCGGAUCGUAAAACUCUGUUAUUAGGGAAGAACAAAUGUGUAAGUAACUAUGCACGUCUUGACGGUACCUAAUCAGAAAGCCACGGCUAACUACGUG
rnacentral:rRNA from 1 species